UCCUCUUAAUGGACGCCUGCUGCUCACGCGGAGGAUUCGUCUCCUCCUCCACGACGGCUGCUUAUCCUUCCCUCCAUCGCGGCCGCUGCACAUGAGAGUAGACAUGAUGUCCUGCAUUCGCUUGCUAGAGCACAUCCAUCACAAUAAUUGAUUAGCUAUGGAAGAUCGCAGAUGAAGAAGAAACCCCAAGCAAAUUGGAUGUCCCUGAUGCCAAGUAACAAAAGCGUUCGUCGUAAGCUCCAUGUGCAGCUACUAGCUAUGACAACCCUCUCGUCUCCACCGUCAUCGGCAACAACAUGGUUCGCCCUCGAGUACAAACGUUGAAAGUGCCAGCCCCGCACCCUUGGCUUUGUUUAUCAC